rnacentral:lncRNA from 1 species
CAGAGUGCCAGUGAUGUUCAUAACUGAUACUUGGGAUGAAGGAAGCUUGACUUACAUUUACCAAUUCUCAGAGGGUAAAUACGCUUCUGGUGGCUUCAGGCUGCACCAGAGACCAAAAUGAAAGGCAGAAGAGUGAAUAGCACGGUGGGCUUUGCUAAGCCAGGAUGAGCCUGACUCUCCAUGCUAUGGCCCAGAAGACACAGGAUUGAAGACGCAAACAAUAAACAAAUAAGAAAAAUAAAAUAAAGCCUCUCACACUGCACCAUGGGAAGGUCUCGGUGGCUGCUUCCCCGUGUGUUACCUCAGCCUGAAACUUCUGUGAGGAAUGACUGUCUCUGUUGUUUGUUUGGUUUGUUGGCACCAGUGGGGGAAGGAGGCCAGAGAGAGUUCAAAAGUCCAGCUGCUCAGCAAAUCAGCUCUUCCUCCAUACCACCCUGCCUCUGUGGUCACUGGACUUGGAGCUCCAAGGGGCCCCAGAGCUAAGCAUAUCGACUUGUCCAGUGAUGACUGCUGCAAACCUGUAAUCCCAGCACUGGGGAGGAGGAGGUAGUAUAUCCCUGGGGAUCACUGGCCUGCCAGACCAGCCUACUUCAUGAGCUCCAGGCCAAUGAGAGAUAGUCUCAAAAUAACAAAAAGCAAAACAAAAGCAAUAGACAGUGUCUGAAGAACAACACCUAACAUUGUCAUUCACUCUCAGCAUGCACACACACACAUCACACCCAUACACAUGGGCAUACACACACACACACACAUCACACCCAUACACCUGGGCAUACACACACACACACACAUCACACCCAUACACCUGGACAUACACACACACAUACACACACACAUACAUCACACCCAUACACCUGGGCAUACACACACACAUACAUCACACCCAUACACCUGAGCAUACACACACACACACAUCACACCCAUACACCUGGGCAUACACAUACACAUACAUCACACCCAUACACCUGGGCAUACACACACACAUACAUCACACCCAUACACCUGGGCACACACACACACACAUACACAUACAUACACACAUCACACCCAUACACCUGGGCAUACACACACACAUACACACACACACACACACACAUCACACCCAUACACCUGGGCAUACACACACACAUACAUCACACCCAUACACCUGGGCAUACACACACACACACACACCACACCCAUACACCUGGGCAUACACACACACAUACACAUACACACACACACACAUAUCACACCCAUACACAUGGGCAUACACACAUUACAUCCAUACACAUGGGCG